GCGUCACUAGUACAGCGGAUUAGAGCACGCGCCCCCAGGCAGAGCGAGAUGCGGGUUCGAGUCCCGCCUGACGCU